UCCGCGAUAGCUCAGCGGUAGAGCGUCCGACUGUUAAUCGGAUGGUCCCUGGUUCGAAUCCAGGUCGCGGAGCCA
rnacentral:tRNA from 1 species